rnacentral:rRNA from 1 species
GACGAACGCUGGCGGCGUGCUUAACACAUGCAAGUCGAACGAAGAGCGAUGGAAGCUUGCUUCUAUCAAUCUUAGUGGCGAACGGGUGAGUAACGCGUAAUCAACCUGCCCUUCAGAGGGGGACAACAGUUGGAAACGACUGCUAAUACCGCAUACGAUCUAAUCUCGGCAUCGAGGAUAGAUGAAAGGUGGCCUCUACAUGUAAGCUAUCACUGAAGGAGGGGAUUGCGUCUGAUUAGCUAGUUGGAGGGGUAACGGCCCACCAAGGCGAUGAUCAGUAGCCGGUCUGAGAGGAUGAACGGCCACAUUGGGACUGAGACACGGCCCAGACUCCUACGGGAGGCAGCAGUGGGGAAUCUUCCGCAAUGGACGAAAGUCUGACGGAGCAACGCCGCGUGAGUGAUGACGGCCUUCGGGUUGUAAAGCUCUGUUAAUCGGGACGAAAGGCCUUCUUGCGAGUAGUGAGAAGGAUUGACGGUACCGGAAUAGAAAGCCACGGCUAACUACGUG